rnacentral:rRNA from 1 species
AUUGAACGCUGGCGGCAGGCUUAACACAUGCAAGUCGAGCGGAGAUGAGGUGCUUGCACCUUAUCUUAGCGGCGGACGGGUGAGUAAUGCUUAGGAAUCUGCCAUUUAGUGGGGGACAACAUUCCGAAAGGAAUGCUAAUACCGCAUACGUCCUACGGGAGAAAGCAGGGGAUCUUCGGACCUUGCGCUAAAUGAUGAGCCUAAGUCGGAUUAGCUAGUUGGUGGGGUAAAGGCCUACCAAGGCGACGAUCUGUAGCGGGUCUGAGAGGAUGAUCCGCCACACUGGGACUGAGACACGGCCCAGACUCCUACGGGAGGCAGCAGUGGGGAAUAUUGGACAAUGGGCGGAAGCCUGAUCCAGCCAUGCCGCGUGUGUGAAGAAGGCCUUUUGGUUGUAAAGCACUUUGAGCGAGGAGGAGGCUACUAGUACUAAUACUACUGGAUAGUGGACGUUACUCGCAGAAUAAGCACCGGCUAACUCUGUGCCAGCCGCCGCAGUAAAAC